UGGGGAAUUUUGGACAAUGGGCGCAAGCCUGAUCCAGCAAUGCCGCGUGCGGGAAGAAGGCCUUCGGGUUGUAAACCGCUUUUGGCAGGAACGAAACGGUGUCCGCUAAUACCGGGCGCUAAUGACGGUACCUGCAGAAUAAGCACCGGCUAACUACGUGCCAGCAGCCGCGGUAAUACGUAGGGUGCGAGCGUUAAUCGGAAUUACUGGGCGUAAAGCGUGCGCAGGCGGUUGUGUAAGACAGGCGUGAAAUCCCCGGGCUCAACCUGGGAAUGGCGCUUGUGACUGCACGGCUGGAGUGCGGCAGAGGGGGGAUGGAAUUCCGCGUGUAGCAGUGAAAUGCGUAGAUAUGCGGAGGAACACCGAUGGCGAAGGCAAUCCCCUGGGCCUGCACUGACGCUCAUGCACGAAAGCGUGGGGAGCAAACAGGAUUAGAUACCCUGGUAGUCCACGCCCUAAACGAUGUCGACUGGUUGUUGGGUCUUAGGUGACUCAGUAACGAAGCUAACGCGUGAAGUCGACCGCCUGGGGGAGUACGGCCGCAAGGUU
rnacentral:rRNA from 1 species